rnacentral:rRNA from 1 species
GACACGGCCCAGACUCCUACGGGAGGCAGCAGUGGGGAAUUUUGGACAAUGGGGGAAACCCUGAUCCAGCCAUCCCGCGUGUGCGAUGAAGGCCUUCGGGUUGUAAAGCACUUUUGGCAGGAAAGAAACGUUCCGGGUUAAUACCCCGGGAAACUGACGGUACCUGCAGAAUAAGCACCGGCUAACUACGUGCCAGCAGCCGCGGUAAUACGUAGGGUGCAAGCGUUAAUCGGAAUUACUGGGCGUAAAGCGUGCGCAGGCGGUUCGGAAAGAAAGAUGUGAAAUCCCAGAGCUUAACUUUGGAACUGCAUUUUUAACUACCGAGCUAGAGUGUGUCAGAGGGAGGUGGAAUUCCGCGUGUAGCAGUGAAAUGCGUAGAUAUGCGGAGGAACACCGAUGGCGAAGGCAGCCUCCUGGGAUAACACUGACGCUCAUGCACGAAAGCGUGGGGAGCAAACAGGAUUAGAUACCCUGGUAGUCCACGCCCUAAACGAUGUCAACUAGCUGUUGGGGCCUUCGGGCCUUGGUAGCGCAGCUAACGUGAAGUUGACCGCCUGGGGA